rnacentral:rRNA from 1 species
GACGAACGCUGGCGGCGUGCCUAAUACAUGCAAGUUGAGCGCUGAAGGUUGGUACUUGUACCAACUGGAUGAGCAGCGAACGGGUGAGUAACGCGUGGGGAAUCUGCCUUUGAGCGGGGGACAACAUUUGGAAACGAAUGCUAAUACCGCAUAAAAACUUUAAACACAAGUUUUAAGUUUGAAAGAUGCAAUUGCAUCACUCAAAGAUGAUCCCGCGUUGUAUUAGCUAGUUGGUGAGGUAAAGGCUCACCAAGGCGAUGAUACAUAGCCGACCUGAGAGGGUGAUCGGCCACAUUGGGACUGAGACACGGCCCAAACUCCUACGGGAGGCAGCAGUAGGGAAUCUUCGGCCAUGGACGAAAGUCUGACCGAGCAACGCCGCGUGAGUGAAGAAGGUUUUCGGAUCGUAAAACUCUGUUGGUAGGGAAGAACGUUGGUGAGAGUGGAAAGCUCAUCAAGUGACGGUAACUACCCAGAAAGGGACGGCUAACUACGUG